rnacentral:rRNA from 1 species
ACUGAACGCUGGUGGCAUGCUUAACACAUGCAAGUCGAGCGAAUGGAUUAAGAGCUUGCUCUUAUGAAGUUAGCGGCGGACGGGUGGGUAACACGUGGGUAACCUGCCCAUAAGACUGGGAUAACUCCGGGAAACCGGGGCUAAUACCGGAUAACAUUUUGAACCGCAUGGUUCGAAAUUGAAAGGCGGCUUCGGCUGUCACUUAUGGAUGGACCCGCGUCGCAUUAGCUAGUUGGUGAGGUAACGGCUCACCAAGGCAACGAUGCGUAGCCGACCUGAGAGGGUGAUCGGCCACACUGGGACUGAGACACGGCCCAGACUCCUACGGGAGGCAGCGGUAGGGAAUCUUCCGCAAUGGACGAAAGUCUGACGGAGCAACGCCGCGUGAGUGAUGAAGGCUUUCGGGUCGUAAAACUCUGUUGUUAGGGAAGAACAAGCGCUAGUUGAAUAAGCUGGCACCUUGACGGUACCUAACUAGAAAGCCACGGCUAACUACGUGCCAGCAGCCGCCGUAA